GAUGAACGCUGGCGGCGUGCCUAAUACAUGCAAGUCGAGCGAACCACUUCGGUGGUGAGCGGCGAACGGGUGAGUAACACGUAGGUGAUCUGCCCAUCAGACGGGGACAACGAUUGGAAACGAUCGCUAAUACCGGAUAGGACGAAAGUUUAAAGGUGCUUCUGGCACCGCUGAUGGAUGAGCCUGCGGCGCAUUAGCUAGUUGGUAGGGUAAAGGCCUACCAAGGCGACGAUGCGUAGCCGACCUGAGAGGGUGAACGGCCACACUGGGACUGAGACACGGCCCAGACUCCUACGGGAGGCAGCAGUAGGGAAUCUUCGGCAAUGGGCGAAAGCCUGACCGAGCAACGCCGCGUGAAUGAUGAAGGCCUUCGGGUUGUAAAAUUCUUUUAUAAGGGAAGAACGACUUUAGUAGGAAAUGGCUAAAGUGUGACGGUACCUUAUGAGAAAGCCACGGCUAACUACGUGCCAGCAGCCGCCGUAA
rnacentral:rRNA from 1 species